rnacentral:rRNA from 1 species
UACGACUACAUAUCAGGCAUAUCAAUAAGCGGAGGAAAAGAAACUAACAAGGAUUCCCCUAGUAACGGCGAGUGAAGCGGGAAGAGCUCAAAUUUGAAAUCUUAAAGGGUUUCCCUUUACGAAUUGUAGUUUAAAGAAGUGUUUUCUGUUGGAGUUUCGGUAAAAGUUCUUUGGAAUAGGACAUCAUAGAGGGUGAGAAUCCCGUAUUUGACCGUUACUUUCCAGCUGUGUGAUACACUUUCAAAGAGUCGGAUUGUUUGGGAAUGCAGUCCAAAAUGGGUGGUAAAUUUCAUCUAAAGCUAAAUAUUGGCGAGAGACCGAUAGCGAACAAGUACCGUGAGGGAAAGAUGAAAAGAACUUUGAAAAGAGAGUUAAACAGUACGUGAAAUUGUCAAAAGGGAAGCGUUUGACACCAGUGUUGUUUAGUUGAAAAUCAAUUAAAUAAUUUUUGAUUUUGAGUAGUAUUGACUUCAUCAGCUUGCUGCUCUCUUUUCGGAAAUUAUUUAAUGCACUUUUCAGGUUAACAAGUCAACAUCAAUUUCUUUUGUUGUAAAAGGGUAUGAGGAAGGUGGCUUUACAUUUCGGUGUAAAGUGUUUAUAGCCUUGUACCUCUGCAAUCGGAGAGAUUGAGGUCAUGCAGCGUAGACUCCUUCGGGGUUAGAUACACUUAGAUGCUAAGUUAUAGCUUUUUAUAGACAACUUGUUGACUAUGAUUAAGUCAUGUAGCUUACUCGCUUGUCGCUAUUUUACCUACGCUUAGGAUGUUGAUCUCUCACAGUCGAGC